AUUGAACGCUGGCGGCAUGCCUUACACAUGCAAGUCGAACGGUAACAGGUCUUCGGAUGCUGACGAGUGGCGAACGGGUGAGUAAUACAUCGGAACGUGCCCGAUCGUGGGGGAUAACGAGGCGAAAGCUUUGCUAAUACCGCAUACGAUCUACGGAUGAAAGCGGGGGAUCUUCGGACCUCGCGCGGACGGAGCGGCCGAUGGCAGAUUAGGUAGUUGGUGGGAUAAAAGCUUACCAAGCCGACGAUCUGUAGCUGGUCUGAGAGGAUGAUCAGCCACACGGGGACUGAGACACGGCCCAGAUUCCAACGGGAGGCAGCAGUGGGAAAUUUUGGACAAUGGGCGAAAGCUUGAUCCAGCCAUGCCGGGUGCAGGAUGAGGGCCUUCGGGUUUUAAACUGUUUUUUUACGGAACAAAAAGCCUCUUUUUAAAAAAGGGGGGUAAGGAGGGUACCGAAAGAAAAAGCACCGGUUAACUACGU
rnacentral:rRNA from 1 species